rnacentral:rRNA from 1 species
GACGAACGCUGGCGGCGUGCUUAACACAUGCAAGUCGAGCGGAAAGGCCUUUCGGGGUACUCGAGCGGCGAACGGGUGAGUAACACGUGAGUAACCUGCCCUCAGCUUUGGGAUAAGCCUGGGAAACUGGGUCUAAUACCGGAUAUGACCAUUCCACGCAUGUGGUGGUGGUGGAAAGUUUUUUCGGCUGGGGAUGGGCUCGCGGCCUAUCAGCUUGUUGGUGGGGUAGUGGCCUACCAAGGCGACGACGGGUAGCCGGCCUGAGAGGGCGACCGGC